AUAGAGAAUUUUUGGAUUUUUAAUAUUUCAUUAAAUAAAAUAUUUGUGUGUUUUUCAUUACAAAGACUCAAAACGACAUUAACUGACUCCGAAAAGGAACAUACAAACUCAAAAAUGAAAGAUAAUCAACAGACUCGAAACAAACAAUAAACAACAGACUCGAAAUGGACAAAACAACAGACUCGUGAUAGGAAAGUAAACUACAUACUCGAUAAUAAAAACAACUGAUACAAUUGGAAGACCAACUCUGAAAGAGCCUCUAGAUCAAGCAUAACCUGGCGGGCAAAAGUCAACACCGUGGCAAAGAACAUGGCCUUGGUCAUCUGUUCACAGUCAUUGCAUUUGUUGGCGGUAUAGUCAGCUAUUUCCCGCAUCCUAAACUUUGUGAUUGUAUGAUCUUGGUGCAUUAGUCUAAUCUGCUCAUCCCGGGCUUCUACCAACAGCUGGGCCUAAUUAAAUGUAGGAAAGAGUCUAAGAGCCUAAACCGGUCAAAAUACCCUAUACAACCUCGGGUACACACCCGUCACCUCAUGUACACGUCUUUCACAUAAUAAAAACAAUAAAAAUCAACCCAAGUCCUAAGGGGUAGUUCCACCACACAAAGUUAGACAAGAUACUUACCUCAAACAAGCUAAAUCAACCCGCUAGUAAGCCUUUCCCGUGAAAAUCCAACUCCGGAUGGCUCGAAUCUAGCCAAAAUAACUUAAUACUAUAAAUACAAACCAUAGAAAACGAUUCCGGAUAUUAAAGUUGCAAUCUUUAAAGAAAAUCAAAAAGUCAUCUCAAAAAGUAAACACCAGGCCCGCACUUCGAAAAUCGACCAAACUUACAAAAUUCUAACACCCAUUCAGAUACGAGUCCAAUCAUACAAAAAUUAUCCAAUUCCGACCUCAAAUCGAACUUCAAAUCCUCAAUUUAUAGUUUAGGAAAGUUUUCACAAAAUCCCUAAUUUCUCUAACAUAAAACACUAAUUAAAUGAUAAAAACAAUGAUGGAAUCAUGAAUAAUACACAAAUCUGAGUCAAAAACUCUUACCCCGUUCUAAUCCUUGAAAAUUGUCACGCCACGAACCUGGGGGGCAAGACCGGCACCCGGUACCUUACUCAAUCGAGUACCAAUAUAACCUAUCUUUUCUUAUCAUACUAUCAUAGAUAACUGAGCAACAGAGGCUGCCUUGAGAUAGGUAGAAUACAACAUGUAAUACCAACUUAUACAUAAGACAUAUGGACCUAUAAGACCAAAAUAACCACUCGUACACUGAACAUAGGCCGACAAGGCCAUACAAUCUUUUACGUACAUGACAUCUGUCUACAAGCCUCUAAUAAUACAUAAUUGUCAUAAAGGUAGGGACAGAGCCCCGCCAUACCAAACAAUACACAUCUAAAUCAUACUGACCAAACAAGCAACUCCGGAGCAAAUAGAGUGCACCAACACUUCCACUGAGCUGAUCGCCUACUUGGAGGACUCUCGACCUGUCUAUCGAGACCUUCGGGCAUUAAACGCAGCGUCCCCAGGAAAAAGGGACGUCAGUACAAAUAAUGUACCGAGUAUGUAAGGUAAUAUACUGAAAGCUGAAACUAAACCGAUAAUAUAAUAACUGAAAGUAACUGGGAGUCAAAGAUAAUCUAAUGAUAUGCUUACCUGCUGAUACUGACUCAACUCUCUCAAUAUAGAAAGUAAAAUAGUUGUUCGGCUCUAUAAGGGUCGGUAUAUAUACAACUUCUCUGCCAUAGUAGGCUCGCUCAUAGGCGCUCGGCCAUACUAGGCUUUGUAUCUUGGCGAACUNNNNNNNNNNNNNNNNNNNNNNNNNAAAUACUGUAAUACUGUAUAUAUAGGCUCUCUGCUCUCUUGACUGGAAGAAGACAAUACUUAAUUGAAUAUGAAGUCCUGAUAAGGAGAAUACUCUGAUUUAUGAAACUAGGAUAAUGUAUAUAAAUUCGGGAGUAUGAACUUCUCUUUAUGCCUCGUUAUCAAACACAUGUAAUUAUGAGAUCAUGCCAAAAUGAAGGAAGGGCUUAGCCUUAAGAUACCUGAACCGAUUCUCUUGACAAUUCCUCUAACACACGUCUUUUGCGAAAACACGUGACGGCGGAUCGAAGUAGGAAAAAAUCUGUAUGAUAUUCUUGAGAAAGAUUGUACCGUGCUCCCUUGGAAUUUGCAAACUCAUGCUGCCAUUACAUAAUAAUAUUUUCGUAUGAAUUAUUGAAGAAACUCAUGUUACUAUUGCAACCUUAUCUUUACUGAAGCUCUCUUUGAAUUGUAGAGAUUCAAAAAUGAGAUUAAGAGCUCUCUUUGGUCUUUUGGGUGUGGGCCCCACUUUAGGGAAUGAUUUGGCCACCAAACAUCCUUUAAUUUUUGCCACCUUAUUAAGUGAUUUAAGUGUCAUUAUUCAAGACCUCUUUGGCUGCCACAUUCCCAUAAUCUCACGUGACUUGCCCCCUAAUACUUAUCCAAGAUCUUACAUAAAUAAUUGUUCUCAAACUUUUAUUUAAUUUGUUAACUUCCCACUCAAAUCAAUUAUUAAUCAAAUAUCCACAUAAUUAAGAAUUAUCUCAAAUUACUUAAAAUACUAUUCACUUUUAACACACUGUAUACACCUUACUAUUAUGGUCAUGUGGUACCUUGUAUGGCACUAGUUCAUAAAUACCAGGUAUUUUAGCUCGGGCCGUAUUUUAUCCCGAAAUGUCAAACUUCGACGAAAAUUCAUUUUCUUCGAUUUGCUUACCUUCUCACCUUCACGAAUUUACUUAUCCCUUGUUUGAAAUAGCGUAAUACUUAUAAUCCCAAAAUAAUCUCAUUCCCGAGCUUACGUCGAUUAACUUACGAUGAAACUUCAACAUACGAAAAUGCAAGAUGUAACAUCUCAUUUCCGAGCUUCCAUUAAUUUACUUAUGGCGUACUUUCACGUACGAAAAUAUGGGGUGUAACAUCACUCCCCCCUUUGGAACAUUCGUCCUCGAAUGUUGACUGGUCCACUUAUCAUUAUCAUAACCUAUAGCUCUUAUGAAUACUUUAGUACUCCUCUUACCAUCUAGGCAACUGUGCUGUGAAUGAAUCCCAAAGGCCAGGGCAUUCCCCCCUUUUGGCCUCUUUCUCACACCACGACUCAUGAUCGGAAUCCUCCCAAUCUUGUAACUGUUGCUACCUUAUAUCAUGCAGCCUGUACGACUCUGACUUUGUAAGUGCGCCUAUGCGAUUUUUCUCUCCUUCUUUUUCCUCAAGCUUUUAGCCAAUAUUUAGGCUUCACUUUGUGUUCAUAUAUAAAAUUAUGUCAAGAUGUCCCUCUGGGCGUCAUUAGCUUUACUUCAUCUAAGUAGGCCAUACUAUACCAUAAUUCUUACUUCGAUUUAUCGUUACCGAGGUCUGCUACCAAACUCCAGGUUACUCUCGUUGCUUAUCCUAUAUGCAUAAAGCUAAGUCUUUUAAUGCUUCUUCAUUACUGUUCAUCUUAAGACUGAUGGCCUAAUCUCACCUCGUACUUUGCAGCUUUUACCCAUCCAUUGUUGAUUUACCUCAAUAUUGAUCUAUAAUCUUUCAUUGAUAACUUGAAACUUCUUACGUAAUAUAUUGCCACUAGGUCUUACGCUGCAUCGUGGAACUUUUGAAGUGAUUUUCCUGAUCCACCUGGGGGCGAUACUAUACUUUUAUAACCAUAUUUCAUAGCAUCCCAAUGUGAUUUUCAUCACGUGUGUAUUUUAAUCCUCUACAAUUCAUGAAAUUAUUACUCAAUCGAAGGCCCAAAUGCCAUCUUUCAUUUAUCACAAUUACACCCUCAUUCUACUACCAGGGCAGCAUUCCAUCUCUUCUAAAUGCUACUAGUCUUAGACUCCUUUGAGUUCACUCAGUCUAUACUGAGCUUUCUAUAACUUAGAGAAAGCAUUAGCUCUCUUGUUUUCAUGGGCUUAAUCCUGAGGACUUAUUCAUUCUCGUCACCUUUUCACUCGCCCUUUCUUAUCCUUACUUAUGCUUUCCUAAAAAAUUGUCGCUUUUCCAUACUUUAGCUUACGGCCUACACAUCUCUAUUUAUACUACUCACAACCUUCCUUUAACUUACUUGCACCAUAGAUUUCCUCGUGUUAUUCGGGAACAUCAAGCGAGACAUCACAUCGUCUCUAACUCUUCUUUACUCUUUUAAUUAGACCUUUUGAUACAUAGAAACCAUAGGCCGAAAAAUAUUCCACUGACGAUGUCGUUAUCAUUCCUGGAUACUGAGUCUCAGUACUUCUGGCCUUCUAUCUGAAGUGUGGACUAUUCACAACCUUCUGCAUUUGAGUAUCUUGUAUGUUGUUCACCUUUACCUUACUUACAUUAAAAUCUCUCCUUACAUCUUCUAUUUCUUUUAUGAUCUCCUUUCCACAUAGUAUAAUUCACAUCCAUGACUUGAAGCUCUAUUAUAAUACUUGCACCUCUAGUGCAUACACAAUCCGGUGGGAGCUUCAUACUUACUUCUUAUGAGGCUGGUACUCUUCUAACUGGCUUUCUCGUAGAGCCGUUAUGGAAUACGGUUGUUGUACUAUCUCUCUUGUACCCUUGAUAUUAAGGGUGAUUCUGUAAUGUUUUCAAUCACGAUUUCUAUAUUUUUUUGGAUCCAAUAAUGAGACUCCUGAUUUACUUGGUUGAUGUAACUCUUUAGUUUCCUCUUCCUUCUGAUCAACCUUUAUAUAGGCUUAAUCUAUCUUCCGAUUUAUGGCUCCUGAUAUUAAUUAUUACUUUAGCCUUUCAUGGGCGCUAUGGAAUAUCCAUGAUAUAAUCUUCUGACAAUUCAAUCCUUUGUCUAUGCCCUAGGCUCAAUUCCUUCUUUUAACUUAUACCGGAGUCUUCUACGGCUGUAUGAAUGUCAACAUAUAUGCUGCAUGGAUAUCACUCUGAAGUCUUAAGUGCAUAAUCUCUUUUGUUCCUUUUGAGCUUCCUUUAAACGUAAACUGUUACUUUUUCUGGUCUUUCUGCCCCUUUGUUGCGUGUAUACUUAGCUUAUAUUAUUUCUCACACAUGCCGGAAUUUUUGUGCAACUUACAUGGUCUCAAAUAUAACUUCUGAUUUUACUCCCCGUACAUUAACCACAGUAGGUGCCACUUUCUUAUGAAGUGCAUACAAUAUUGUUGUGAGACUGUUGUUACACGACCAUUUCCUCUUUAGGUCACUAUGCUUAGGUUGAGACUUUUUCCUUAUUUCCUCUGCUAGUCUUUUAUUGUAGUACUCCCUCUGACUCUUGUAAAGCUGCGAGCUUAUUACAUCGCAUUCCUGAUAGAAUUUUUGAUGUUAUUUCUUACUUGUAAUUAUCCUUACUUACCUUCAUGCCCUUGUGCUCGUAGGGUUGCUUCUGAGAUGAUAUUUUGAUUGUCUUCCCAGUCGCACUCUCUUUUAUCUCCGUAACCCUCAUACGGUAUCGUUACUACCCCAACUUCUAUCUUAAUAUUUCUCAAGGAUUACGAUGUCAUAACUGCGAGGUUGAAUUCACUAUAUUGGGUUUACUAUGUUUAUCUUGCAUGAUAUGUUGAUUUGUCUGUAUCCUCUUAUCUAGCCAUAGCUAGGCUCUUCCUAAAUCAACUACUAACUACUCGUUGGCCCAUUCUCAUAUCUAUAUUCCGCGUAAUCCCUCUUAGGUUAUUUUCUUUGUCUUAACUUACCUCUUGCACUAGCUCCUUAUGUCUCAAGUGUUUAUUCACACUUAUUUAUCAAUAACAUCCUAGGGGAAACCCUUACUGCCUCUCCUCGGUGUUGUAGUUGCAUUAUGUUCUGGAGUCGUAGCAUAUCUGUAGGAUUUGGAUAGGUGCAAUCUCAUUCCUUUCUCAUUUUUAUCGCUUUCUUCCUUUACCAUUCCAUAGUUACUAGAAACACUUACUUCCGACUUAAUGCCACAUUACUCCAUUCCCCCCCUUUAGGGGAGUACUAAGAUUUAGUGCUACGAUGAUCUACGUAUAGAUGUUUUGCCUCUUCAUUUUUGGCGUCUUUUCACAUAAUCGAUGACCCUUACUCACCUUGCGGUAAUCCUUUUAUACCGAGGAUAACAAAUUUCCUUACUCGCGAGGGUGACACUUAGUAUAACUGGCACAUACAGUCCCUUAAGCUUAACUUUUCUCACAUUGCUUGCUUUAAGGAAGCGUCUUCCUGAAAGACCAUUCUCUGAAUUUCUCAUGAUUCUUCUUCUGUUGUCCAUUCUAUUAUCGCCGGAGUGAAAUCUGAAAUUCUCAUGAUAUCAUCCAUUAUCACCUCACUCAGUCCCUAAUUCAUAUUUAGUUUAUCUUGUUCACCAGCCCAUACUGAUUUCUGUUAUUCUGGGGUCUAACUUUUCCUUCUAGUAGUAGCGUUGGAGUCAGGGACUUAUUUCUCAAAAUGAGAAUAUGACUUUAUGGUCUAUACUCUUUUGUUGUUUCCUGGCCUGACACCUCUCAUCUUUUCCUUCCCUUGACUAUAGACUAUGUAAUACUGUCAUUUCAUUUUUCUUUUCUACCGUUGUCAUCCAUGUAUCACAUCUUACUUAUAAUGCUUCAUUAACUCUCUUCUUAUUUUCUGCUACAUUUAUGUCUAUCACUUUAUUCUGAAAACUCAAACAAGAUAUUCUUUUGCUUUUGUCUCCCCUUGCUCCAUCCACUGGAUCUUCGGGUUGCCUAACAUUCUUUCUCUACUAGGGACGGGAGCCAUACUAAGGUAAUAUUUAUCCAUUCAAGAAUUUCAGUACCUAUCUUUGUAGUACUCAUAUCUAGCUCUACUAUUUUUGAGUGCACCAUCUGGGUGUCUCACAAGGAGAUCUAUUAGCAUAUCUACAAUAUCCUUCGGAAAUGUCAACUAACGCAAACAAUCCAUCCAUAAUUUUGGGUUACUCUAACCCCAGUCGGAUCCUGAUAUUCCGUCCUUCUCUUAAACCAUAUUUGUUAGCUCCCAUAGGGCAUAACUUAGAUCGGUGUGGCCAAUUGUAUAUACCUCUGUUACUGUUGAAGGUAACUCAUAAUGCUUAUAUCUCUCUUCCUGAAUGGUAAAUAAUGAUAAUCUUCACUAACUGGGUACCUCGUACCCUUCUUCAUUUUGCUUCUUUUACUUGUUGAAAUUUGUAUCUAUCUUCUGAAUCUCUCAUUGCCUUUCACCAUAGGGGUGGAUAAAUAUUCUUGCCUUAAGGCUCCUUAUCAAGAGGCUUACACGUCUUAGUACACACAUAAUAUGCUGAAAACCUUACAUUUAUCCAUCAUAAGCAUCAUGCAAAAUCGAGUUCCUUUGACUCAACUCUUUCACAUCCACAUACAAUCUCUUACCAACCGUCUUUCUAGAUGUAGGCAUCAUCGUAUUAUGAAUAAGAUAGAGUUUAGGAAAUUGAGUUCCUACAACUGAGCUCUACCACACGAUCUAGAGUAAGAAAAAAGAGUGACAGUCCUAAAUGCCAUGUAGCCUCCUGCUUAUAAGUGUGGUGCAUAACACACCCAUAAACAAGACUCUACUAGACACGACUUGUAGACUCCCUAGGACAGAACUGCUCUGAUACCACUUCUGUCACGCCCCGAACCUGGGGGCGAGACCGGCACCCGGUACCUUACUCAACUGAGUACCAACAUAAUGUAUCUUUUCGUAUCAUACUAUCAUUGAUAACUGAGCCGGAGAGGCUACUUUGAGAUAGGUAGAAUACAACAUGUAAUACCAAUUUAUACAUAAGACAUAUAGGCCUAUAAGACCAAAAUAAUCACUCGUACACUGAACAUUGGCCGACAAGGCCACACAAUCUUUUACGUACAUGACAUCUGUCUACAAGCCUCUAAUAAUACAUAAUUGUCAUAAAGGUAGAUACAGAGCCCCGCUAUACCAAACAAUAUAUAUUUAAAUCAUACUGACCAAGCAAGCAACUCCGGAGCAAAUGGAGUGCACCAACAUCUUCCGCUGAGCUGAUCUCCUAAUUGGAGGACUCUCUACCUGUCUAUCGAGACCUGCGGGCAUGAAAUACAGCGUCCCCAGGCAAAAAGGGAUGUCAAUACAAAUAAUAUACCGAGUAUGUAAGGCAAUAUACUGAAAGCUGAAACUGAACUGAUAAUAUAAUAAUUGAAUGUAACUGGGAGUCAAAGAUUAUAUGAUGAUAUGCUUACCUGCUGAUACUGACUCAACUCUCUCAAUACAGUAAGUAAAAUAGUUGUCCGGCCCUAUAAGGCUCGGUAUAUAUAUAACUGCUCUGCCAUAGUAGGCUCGCUUAUAGGCGCUCGGCCAUACUAGGCUCUGUAUCUCGGCCAACUGGGCUCGCUCAUAGGCGCUCAGCCACAGUAGGCUCAGUAUAUAACUUACCAUCUGAUCAGAGGUUGCCCAAUAGGGGCCUGUCCAUCGAUUAUAGCUCGUUGGUAAUGAAAAUACUGUAAUACUGUAUAUAUAAGCUCUCUGCUCUCUUGACUGGAAGAAGACAAUACUCAGUUGAAUAUGAAGUCCCCUGAUAAGGAGAAUAUUCUAAAUUAUGGAAACUAGGGGAUAAUGGUAAUAUAAANNNNNNNNNNNNNNNNNNNNNNNNNCUUACCAUCUGAUCAGAGGUUGCCCAAUAGGGGCCUGUCCAUCGAUUAUAGCUCGUUAGGUAAUGAAAAUACUGUAAUACUGUAUAUAUAAGCUCUCUGCUCUCUUGACUGGAAGAAGACAAUACUCAGUUGAAUAUGAAGUCCUGAUAAGGAGAAUAUUCUAAAUUAUGAAACUAGGAUAAUGUAUAUAAAUUCGGGAGUAUGAACUUCUCUUUAUGCCUCGUUAUCAAACACAUGUAAUUAUGAGAUCAUGCCAAAAUGAAGGAAGGGCUUAGCCUUAAGAUACCUGAACCGAUUCUCUUGACAAUUCCUCUAACACACGUCUUUUUUGAAAAUACGUGACGACAGAUCGAAGUAGGGAAAUAUCUGUAUGAUAUUCUUGAGAAAGAUUGUACUAUGCUCCCUUAAAAUUUGCAAACUCACGAUGCCAUUACAUAAUAACAUCUUUGUAUGAAUUAUUGAAGUAAAUCACGUUACUAUUGCAACCUUAUCUUUUCUGAAGCUCUCUUUGAAUUGUAGAGAUUCAAAAAUGAGAUUAAGAUCUCUCUUUGGUCUUUUGGGUGUGGGCCCCACUUUAGGGAAUGAUUUGGCCACCAAACAACCUUCAAUUUUUGCCACCUUAUUAAGUGAUUUAAGAGUCAUUAUUCAAGACCUCUUUGGCUGCCACAUUCCCAUAAUCUCACGUGACUUUCCCCCUAAUACUUAUCCAAUAUCUUACAUAAAUAAUUAUCCUCAAACUUUUAAUUAAUUUGUUAACUUUUCACUCAAAUCAAUAAUUAACCAAAUAUCCACAUAAUUAAGAAUUAUCUCAAAUUACUUAAAAUACUACUCACUUUUAACACACCGUGUAUACCUUACUAUUAUGGUCAUGUGGUACCUUGUAUGACACUAGUCCAUAAAUACCGGGUAUUUUACCUUGGGCCGUAUUUAUUCCCGAAAUGUCGAACUUCGACGAAAAUCCAUUUUCUUCGAUUUACUUACCCUUUCACCUUCACGAAUUUACUUAUCCCUUAUUUGAAAUAGCGUAAUACUUAUAAUCCCAAAAUAAUCUCAUUACUGAGCUUACGUCGAUUAACUUACGACGAAACUUCAACAUACAAAAAUGCGGGAUGUAACAUCUCAUUUCCAAGCUUCCAUCAAUUUACUUAUGGCGUACUUUCAUGUACGAAAACAUGGGGUGUAACAAAAAUCCCCUCCAAAAUCUCCCAAAACCGAGCUCUCAAACUCAAAAUAUGGAAAAGGAAAUAAAACCCUUGAUCUCCACUAUUUCUUCCCAGGCUUUUCGCACCUGUGAAUUAUUUGGUCGCUUCUGCGAUUCCGCAUCUACGAAAACUAUAUUGUAGAUGCGGCCUCAACUAAGGCUUAGGAAAUAUUUCUUAUGCGAAAAAAGGGCGCACCUGCGCUUUCGCUUUUGCGGACCCCAACUCGCUUCUGCACAUCCGCUUCUGCAAAAUAACACUGCACUUGCGAUCCAUCAAUACUCACCAGCAAUCCGCUUCUGCGGACAACAACCGCAUCUGCGGUCAUGCAUGUGCACGCAUCUAUCCGCACCUGCAGACCCAGUCCACUAAGUCCAAACUCGCAUCUGCAGCUCAUAGGCCAUUUUUGCGGUAGCGCACCUGCAGCCAUGCCAUCGCAGGUGUGAUUGCACAAGACUCCAGCGCUCUUCAGGCAUUCCUUUAAAGUGCUAAAAGGUCCAAACUCAACCUGAAUCAUACCCGGGGGCCCCAGAACCCCGCCAUAACAUACCAUCAAGUCACAAAAUACGUAACGAACCUACUCGAGGCCUAAAAUCACAUUAAACAAUAUCAAACCUAUGAAUCACACCCCAUUUUAAGCCUAUUGAAUAAAUGGAUGUUCAACUUGAAAAAUAAAUGUUGAUUCAUACCAAACCAAUUCCGAAUGAGCUCAAAUUUUGCAUGCAAGUCUCAAAUGACACAACGGACCUAUACCAACUUCCGAAAUCACAAUCCAAGACCGAUAUCAAUAAAGUAAACUCUCGGCCAAACCUACCAACCUUCCAAGCCUUCAACUUUUUAACUUUUGCCAAAACGCCUCAAGACAACCUACGAACCUCCAAAUUAAUAUCUGGACAUACGCAUAAGUUUACAAUCACCAUACAAAACUAUUUGAACCAUCAAAUUUCCAUUCCAGAGUUAUUUACACAAAAGUCAAACUCCAGUAAACUCUUUCAAGUUAUGCUUCCAACUUUGGGACUAAGUGUCCCAAUUCACUCCGAAACUCACUCGAAACCAAACCAAACACCACAUCAAGUCAAUUGAACUUAGAGGAGGCAAUAGAUAGGAGAACGUGGCUAAAAAUACUCAAAACGACUGGCCGGAUCAUUACAGAAGGUUGCCUACGUACCUCACAUCCGAUGAGGAUCAAACCCGCGUAGUUCAGUAUGAUUUCAAAAUAGAGGGGAAAUGGCAUGUUGAAAAUUUUGGCUCAUUUUGUAACAACCUCCUAAACAUUUGGCUGAGUUUUAGAAUUUUCUUUUUUUUUUCUUUCAAAUACCAGGAUUUUCAGGAAUCGGGUAAAUUUCUCUCUCCUAUAUUCUCUCUCUCUCUCUCUCCCUCCUUGAUUUUUGUUCCCUAUUCUAGGAGGCGGUCAACAUGCAAACCAGAUCAAAUAAAUGCACAAGUGGCAUGUAAGAAUGCAUAAGGUUAGUAUUUUAUUUUUGAGUACACCUCUCCUAGAUGGACCCAACCCAUGUGUUGAGUCCCCUAUUUCAAAUGCACGUGAUGCAAACAUGCGUACCUACUAGGGAUACAGAAUGAGGCUUUAUUCUUCUAGGUUUAAACCUAGUAAGGUUUGGAGUUUUAGACCUGGCUUACCCGAGAGGACAACUCAAGCCGGAGGGGGGGAGGGGGGGGGGGGUAGUGUAUUGAGAAUAUAGAAGCUUCACCGGCUUUACAAAGAGUAUGAUCCUCAUUCUAAAAUUAGGGGUAUGACACUUUAACAGAAAUGAUAUACGCGUACAUGCGCUCCCAGAAGAUUUAGAGGACUCAGAAUGUCACGACCCAAAAUCCACGAUAGGUCGUGAUGGCACCUAACGCCGCUGUUAAGCAAGCCAACGGUGAUUGAUCAAUUUAAUUACUCAUUUUAUUACCUUUGAAAUCAUAAAUUUUAAUAAGGAAGGAAAUUUACACUUUUAAAUCCACGGGAACGUACAAAAUUUGUAGUUUAUGAGAGAAAUAAAAGGCGAUGAUAAUAUACAGGACCGUAAGCAUCAACUAGUAUAUCCUAAAAUCCGGUGUCAUAAGUGCAUGGGCAUUCACUAAGGAGUACAAUAAUAAUACAAUAUCUUUCUAGAAUGUAAAUGAGACAUGGUAAAAAAAAUAGUACGAUGGAGACUCUGUGGACUGCGAUACGUGGCAUGGAAUGCAGCUCACAUAUAGUCUCCUAAACAGCUGCGCUUACGCGCCACAAUGAUCACAAAAUGAACCUAUCAGAUCCUGCACAUUUAGUGUAGAAGUGCAGCAUGAGUACGUAAAUCAACGCGUACCCAGUAAAUAUCUAGCCUAACCCCGUAGAAGUAGUGACGAGGGGUCGACAUCAACACUUACUAGUGGUCCAAUAGAUCAAUAUGGUAAAUCGUAAACAGAUAAGAAGCACAACAAUAGUAGUGAGGUAAAUCUGUAACUAACACAAUCUUCCAAAAUUUCUUUUAACGAUAUCAAUUUCUCAAUCUCGUAUUUUAUCUCAACAGAUCGAAAAUAUCAAGUGCCAAUAUCAAAAGGAUAAGUAAAUACCAUAUAAAGUGUCGGGCAUCAGUGGAAGGAUAAUCUCGUGAACAAUCUUACUGCUAGCGAUAUAACGCACGAUUAUGCCGAGGUCGUACGACCCGAUACCAUCGUUAUGUGUACACUACCGAGGGUCGAGCAGCACGAUCCAUAGAUGCAUCUACUAUAAUACCGAGGUUAACGAACCACUCCCAUAAGAGUAAGAUACAUGAUCCUGCCAAGGCGUUCGGUCCGCUCCACAAGAAAGGAAAGAACCUUUUGAAUUACGAGGCACGUGCUUACGAUACAGUAUAUGAAUACUAUGUGAGUAUAACCAUUGCCGAUUCUCAAAUAACUUGCCAAUACCUCAAGGUGAUAACCUCGGCCUAAUGUAUAUGUAAUUUCUAAAUCAAGUUCAAUUAUAAUUUCAAUUAAUUAAGCCAGCAGAAUGAGUUCAAAUAAUUCAAAUAUUACAUGGUAAAGUCCUAAGUAUACUCGAACAUAAACAUGCUUUAGCCACGUACGGACUCUCGUAACCUCGUGCGUACGUCGCACCCACAAAAAGUAGCACAUAAUAAUUACAUCACCUAGGGGAUAGUUUUUCCCUCACAAGGUUAGACAAGAGACUUACAUUGCUCCGAAGUUCCAUAACUGACUCCAACGCCUCUCUAACACCUCAACUCCAAGCCAAACGAUCCGAAACUACUCAAACAAUAUGCAAUUCAAUCAAAAUAUACUCAAAUGCAUAUAAUAAACAAUUCCCAACUCCGCUAGAAAAGUCAAUAAAGUCAACCAUCAGGCCCACGUACCUAGAUUUCGAAAUUGUUUGAAGAUAAAUAUUACCCAUAACACCACGAACUCAAAUAUAUAAUUUAUUCCUAAUUCCAUGUCCAAUUUCGUAUUAUGUUUUGGGACUGGUUGGUGUGUUUUGGGACUGGUGUUGUGCAUCGCGAUCACGAAGAAGAAAUUUGGGGCUGCUCGUUUGUGCUACAUGAUCGCGACUUGGGAACCGCGAUCGCAGAGAAGGGAAUGAUUGACCAGGGAUUUUGCCUUACGCGAACGCGGCUUUUGGUUCGAGAAGAAGGGUGUCGUAACACUUUUUAUGUUCAGCUCACAAAAUAUCACGGUAAAGAGCGAUAUUUAGCACAUUAGGCUCACACAUAUAAAAUCAGACAAUAAACAAGAAAGCCAAGUAUAGAGUCAUCUAAGCUCGAAUUCUGAACCCUGAACCAGAAGUUCUGGGUUCAUGUCCCCAGCAGAGUCACCAAAAUUGUCACACCUCCUUUUUUUCGAAAGGAGUUUUUCCACUUUAAGUGAUAUUAUUGAAAAGGGAUUAUUUAAUUUAAUUUUAAGAGUCGUCACUUGAAAUUAUUUAUUACGGUGUUCCAAGCCACCAAUUAUUUUAUAUUCCAUAUCAAGGUAAGUUUGACUCUGUUUAAGUUUGCGAAACACAGAAGACCGUGUAAUGAAUUAUAUUAAUCCGAGAGAAGGUGUGAGGCACUCCUGGAUUUUGUGAUAUUAACAAGGUCGCUUUAUUUAUUUCAACACGUUUGAGAUUGCUUGUGGAGUCCAAGAAUUAUAGAAUUUCAUUCGUGAAUUCGCGAACUUUGAAACACUAAGGGCCUCCUUCAUAACAAAUACGAGAAAAGUUGAGAAAAUAGAUUUGGUAGAUUAACAACUUAUCUGUAUUAAUAAAUGAAUCCUCAUUAGUUAAUUAGUAGUGGCUUGUAGUUAAACUAUAUCUCUUCUUUUCAAUUAUUUAAUUCUACAUGGAUUGUUAUUGUGAAGGUAACAUUAUGGGCUAAAUUUAUUGAGUACCCAGAUUGGACAUCCAAUAAGUCACUUGUGAGUACAAAUGGGCUUCGGAUUAAAGCCCAAGGCAUCCUUUGAGCCUUUUGAGAACUAGGCCAUGAUGUAGACCUCUAAAUGGACAUGGUACUGAAAUUAGCUAGGAGUUCAGAGUCCACAUGACUCCAAUCUGAUUCUGCCACUUUGCUACGCCAGUUACUCUGGCCAAUGGCCUCUGGGAACGAAAGCCUAGUGAUUUACAACUCACAAUUUCAUACACCAUUGCAAAAAAUGAAAUAUGUAUGAACUAAUCUAAGCAUGAGUACAUGUUCAUCCGGAUUUAAAAUUACAACACCAAUUCACUACAUCAGAAAUCAUGACUUGAAUUUAUAAUAACAAACACUUUUAUGAACUAACAUCCUACAUUUCUGGAAUUAAACAAUGUCAUAACAAAUAAGGUUUCAGAUAAUUAAUUCAUAUCUCCUAAUGCCUUUGACUCGUACAAGUUUAGACUCUUCAUUCAACCUUCAAACUCAUGUGCUGAAAAACUUCAGUGGCUACCAAACUCAAACCCGAUCUCUAACAAAUUUACUAAGUGUUCACAAUCACCAAUAACAUGAAGAUAUUAGUUCUCAAAUUGCUAAAAUGUAUCAUACUAAGCUAAACAGAUAUCAAUCUGUUACAAUUAGCGGCAAAUUUCCAUUUUUACUCAAACACAAAAAUAUUAUCACAAAACAGACUAGAUUUGACUAUGUAAAACAUCUUAUCUAAAAACAUAAAUCGUGCGAAGAGCAAUAAUGGAUCUGGACACACAUAGAUCUAUGAAGAACCAACAUGAUUUCAAUUUAUUUGAUUUCAAUUUGAGGAAUUACAAACUACUUAAGCGUCAGCAACAUGAUUCAAGGAAUGCAUUUCAAUUUCAAUACCAAAACAUGCCAUAUCAUCAUAAAACUAAAUACAUUCAGAGAUCUAUAAGAAGCAGUAGGUAAAUAACCUUCAAAACUGAAAUACGAGAGAGAUUUAGGACCAAAUAAAGGUCAUAAAAUUAUAAGAGGGAGCUCAGCUACGAAACCACAUAAUCAACAGCGAAUCAAUAACAAUUAAUAAAGUAUUUAAGAUGGAAUAACUCAUUUGGAACCCAGCAAGUAAGGAAUAAUCGAUCAUAGGUGAAAACACUCUUCAAAUCCUUUUGAAAUCCUAAGUUUUCUUUUAUUUUUGGAGUCUUUGAUCUUAGAUCUCUUUUUUGAAUUUUUUAACUUUCGAAAUUUUUGGUUUUCAGUUGUUUUUGAAUACCGCUGAAUUUUCAGAGUGAAAUGGGUGUGCGCGCGAAUUUUUCAGACUGUGAAUACAUGCCCAAAUUGUGAGGAGGAAUGCCUUAUUUAUAGAUUAUUAGUUAGGUCUCUUUUGAACUUUUUCUUUUUGUUUUACCCCUCUUAUUUCAAGUUUUUACUCCGACAGUCCCUAAUAGCACACCCUUCUACAUCUUCUUUGCAAAUUAAUCAUUUUCCACACCUUCCUAGAAGUUUCCUAAAAGAUUCUCUAAGGGUGAAAUUCCUUAAUUAUCCUUCAAGUAUUUACCAAUUUUCAGAAAUUAGCUAUCUUUUAACACAAUUACUAGUCUUAUUUUACUACAUAUUUCACUAAAUUUCUGGCAGUGAGCCUUGGGCCAAAAGAAUAAUAGGCCAUGUCGACCUGGGCUCAAAGCCCACUGGUCUUCUAUAUUUUUGAUAAGUCUGUUAAUGAUCUAGCCUAAUUUCUUUUAAAUUUGAACCAAACUAACUAAGACAGUAUUUAAACACUAACAAAAUAUAUGAAAAAUUAACAACAAAAAUCGAAAAUAAGCUAACUCAUAAACUAAUUAGCUAACACAUAAUCGAACUAACAGAAGAAUACUCUUAACUUCUAAUGCUAUUUGAUCAAUAAUUAAAACAUGCGAUUAUUCACCUAUGAAUCAAAACAAAUGACAACACAUAAAAAAGAAAAACGUAGAAGAAUAGGAGGGAAGGGUAUACCUAAUGGAUCAAACGGGCUGUCAAGAGGAAAUUCCGACGAGCCAGAGGAUUGCUACACAAGCUCCAACCGAAAUUUGUCACGCUGGCCAAUGCUAUAUGUAGAAAUAGGUCCUGCAUGCUGGAGGUGAAGAACGAAGAAGCUUUGAGAGGACUGGACGGUCAACUAGAAUUUGACCGGGACCCGAUGGCCAUGAAAUGAGACGAAACCACCACCAAUCGCCAGUACUCAUCAAGAGAUGUCGAUUGGUGUGAAUUUUAACCUCAGACGGGGUAAGAAUUGAAGAGGAAUCAAGAAAGGGGCAGUUUCAAUUUUUCUUAAAUUCUCAGAUCCACUAAUCAUGGAGUUUGGGUGGAUUUUUGAGGAAAUGGUUGACAGAUUAGGGAUGAGGAGGAGUGAGAAGUAUCUGGUGAAAAUUUUGGGCCACCACCGUGAGGCAAUUUUUGGCGGCGGUCAGACGAUGGUCCACGGUGGUAUGAAGGCGGAGGGGGGACAACGGGCGACGAAAGCAAUUUUCGGCCGCCCAAGAGAGAUGAGAGAGAACGGGGAUUAGGGGUGGUUUAUAAAUAUUAAAUUUUUAUCAAUCGUUUUUAUUAAAAAGGGAAAAACAAUGAAAUGUCAUAGCUAUGUUGCGAGACUACGU
rnacentral:lncRNA from 1 species